AAAAACUAAACCUAAACUUUUAUAUCAUGUUCGCGGAAUUAUAUUUUGGUACUGAUCUUUGUUCUUAUUUUUGUUCAUCGUCCUCUACUUACUGUUUUCUUUAUUGUGUAGUGUUGUUUGGGAUAUAAUGUCAAGUAAUACUACACUUUUGUCUAUGGUUACAUCACCUUUUGGAUUAGAUAUAUUAUUUUCGGUUUAAUUUAUAUAUUAUUCUCAUCUUUGUUCUUCUUUUUGUUUAUCUUCCUCUAAUUACUGUUUUCUAUAUCGUGUAGUUGUUGUUUGUGAUGCAAUGUCAAUUAAUUAUACAUUGUUGUCUAUGGUUACAUCAUUUUUUGGGUUAGGUAUAUUAUUUAGGGUUUAAUUUAUAUAUUGAUUCUUCAGCAGAAUUUCUAAUUUAGUUUUUUAAAAUAUUAUUUUUUAUAGAGGAUAUCAAAGAAGAUUCUACAUUGCUAGCUACAAAUCGUGGAUCUAAAUUUCAAAGUUGGAUCGAAGCCAAUUCAAUAGAUGUUGAAGCAAAGCUAUACAAAUAUGAGGAAAUUCCAAGGGGGUUUUUUUGGAUUACUAAAGAAAAUCGGUGGAAGCAAGGGUUUCCAAAAAAAAAGAAGAAAGCCACGAAUCCAAAAAGUUUUGUUCAUCCUUAUAAUUGUAUUUUUAGGUUUUAUGAUGUAUCUUAGAUUUAUUAGGUAAAAAUAAUGUUUUUGUUUUUUUUUUACCUUUUUAUUACUAAUUAAAUUAAGUUUCAAGUUUAGAC
rnacentral:lncRNA from 1 species